rnacentral:rRNA from 1 species
UUCUGGCUCAGGAUGAACGCUAGCUACAGGCUUAACACAUGCAAGUCGAGGGGCAGCAUUAAGUAGCUGCUAACUAGAUGGCGACCGGCGCACGGGUGAGUAACGCGUAUCCAACCUUCCCCCCUACGUCAGGGAUAGCCCGGUGAAAAACCGGAUUAACACCUGAUAGUUUCACUAGGUGGCAUCUGACGGUGAAUAAAGCUUUGCGGUAAGGGAUGGGGAUGCGUCUGAUUAGCUUGUUGGCGGGGUAACGGCCCACCAAGGCUACGAUCAGUAGGGGUUCUGAGAGGAAGGUCCCCCCACAUUGGAACUGAGACACGGUCCAAACUCCUACGGGAGGCAGCAGUGAGGAAUAUUGGUCAAUGGGCGAGAGCCUGAACCAGCCAAGUAGCGUGCAGGAAGACGGCCCUAUGGGUUGUAAACUGCUUUUGUACGGGAAUAAAGUCAGGGACGUGUCCCUGUUUGCAUGUACCGUAAGAAUAAGGACCGGCUAAUUCCGUGCCAGCAGCUGC